rnacentral:tRNA from 1 species
AUUUAAGUAAUUUAAAAAAAAAUUUUGAUUUGUGGUAUCAAAAAUGUAAUGUUAUUACCUUAGAUU